GGAUCAUUAUCGUGGGGCCCCGGCCCCGUCGAGAUAGAACCCUUGCCUUUUUUGAGUACCCAACCGUUUCCUCGGCAGGCUCGCCUGCCAGUGGGGACCCAAACCAAACCCUUCCACCCUGUACACGUCUGAGAAACAAACAAAAGUUAAAACUUUCAACAACGGAUCUCUUGGUUCUGGCAUCGAUGAAGAACGCAGCGAAAUGCGAUAAGUAGUGUGAAUUGCAGAAUUCAGUGAAUCAUCGAAUCUUUGAACGCACAUUGCGCCCCUUGGUAUUCCUUGGGGCAUGCCUGUUCGAGCGUCAUUUGACCCCUCAAGCCCAGCUUGGUGAUGGGCGUUUGUCCCGCCCCCGCGCGUGGACUCGCCCCAAAAUCAUUGGCGGCCGGUACGUUGGCUUCGAGCGCAGCAGAAACGCGCACCUCGAGCCCGGCGGAUCGGCCCCCAGAAGCCCCCCUUUUUACCAUCUUGACCUCGGAUCAGGUAGGGAUACCCGCUGAACUUAAGCAUAUCAAUAAGCGGAGGAAAAGAAACCAACAGGGAUUGCCCUAGUAACGGCGAGUGAAGCGGCAACAGCUCAAAUUUGAAAUCUGGCUCCCCCGGGGCCCGAGUUGUAAUUUGUAGAGGGUGCUUUGGCGUUGGCUGUGGUCUAAGUUCCUUGGAACAGGACGUCACAGAGGGUGAGAAUCCCGUACGUGGCCGCCAGCCUCCGCCGUGUAAAGCCCCUUCGACGAGUCGAGUUGUUUGGGAAUGCAGCUCUAAAUGGGAGGUAAAUUUCUUCUAAAGCUAAAUAUUGGCCAGAGACCGAUAGCGCACAAGUAGAGUGAUCGAAAGAUGAAAAGCACUUUGGAAAGAGAGUCAAAAAGCACGUGAAAUUGUUGAAAGGGAAGCGCUUGCAGCCAGACUUGCCCGCAGUGGCUCACCCGGGCCUCGCGCCCGGCGCACUCCUCUGCGGGCAGGCCAGCAUCAGUCCGGGCGGUCAGACAAAAGCCUGCUAAAUGUACCUCCCCUCGGGGAGGACUUAUAGGGCAGGUGGCAUGUGACCAGCCUGGAUUGAGGUCCGCGCUUCGGCUAGGAUGCUGGCGUAAUGGCUGUAAGCGGCCCGUCUU
rnacentral:rRNA from 1 species